rnacentral:rRNA from 1 species
AUUGAACGCUGGCGGCAGGCCUAACACAUGCAAGUCGAGCGAGUGGCGGACGGGUGAGUAAUGUGUGGGAAUCUGCCCGAUAGAGGGGGAUAACUACUGGAAACGGUGGCUAAUACCGCAUACUAUCAGAUGACCCCAUAUGGGAUUAGCUAGUAGGGGGGGUAAGGGCUCACCAAGGCGACGAUCCCUAGCUGGUCUGAGAGGAUGACCAGCCACACUGGAACUGAGACACGGUCCAGACUCCUACGGGAGGCAGCAGUGGGGAAUAUUGCACAAUGGGCGCAAGCCUGAUGCAGCCAUGCCGCGUGUGUGAAGAAGGCCUUCGGGUUGUAAAGUACUUUCAGCGGGGAGGCGUUACCCGCAGAAGAAGCACCGGCUAACUCCGUGCCAGCAGCCGCGGUAAUAC